CGUGAUCAGUGUACAUGCAGGAUUCGUUAUUAGAUUUAUGAUAGCAAAAUCAUGUUGUUACAUUCUCUGACUGGUAUUUAUUUGAGAUGGCUGUUAGACCAUAUUUACGAAGUUCUCUAGCCAGAACAUUAUAUGAAAAAAUGGUUAAAGAUGAUAAUCUAAGAUGUCUGGACAAAUCGAAGAUCUUACAAUCUGUGUUUGAGACUUUCUUGUGCCAAUGGGCCUUAGAACACGACCAUGCUUGUAUGCCAUGACUGCUGUAUGGCAUAUUUUGUUGUAUUAUAUGAACACAUUCCGCACCAAAUGUCAUUAAAAAUCCUUCCAUUAUUUCUGGAGGUAAUCGACCAAAUAUGAAAAUUUUCACUUUGGCAAUCGAAAUGCAGUGUAUUCUAAUAUACUGUACAGCUGCUCUAAUACACUGUGCAGUUGCACAGCUCCAUCUAUAUUUUUAUGGAAAUAAUGCCGUACUUUGUUAUGUAGCCUAUAUAUAAAUAUAAAUGUGUAA